UCAAGCUAAUAAGGGCUAACGGUGGAUACCUAGGCACACGGAAGCGAAGAAGGACGUAGUUACCGACGAAACGCUUCGGGGAGCGGGAAGCAAGCAUUGAUCCGAAGAUAUCCGAAUGGGGCAACCCUAAACACGACCACCUGAAUACAUAGGGUGGAGCGAGCCAACCUGGUGAACUGAAACAUCUUAGUAGCCAGAGGAAAAGAAAGCAACAGCGAUUCCCCCAGUAGCGGCGAGCGAAAAGGGAACAGCCUAAACCAAGUUCUGCGGAACUUGGGGUCGUGGGACAGUAACAAAAGACUGGGAAAUUUAGACGAAGCGGCUGAAAACCGCACCAGAGAAGGUGAAAGUCCUGUAGUCGAAAAAGGCACCAGCUUAACUGCAUCCCGAGUAGCAUGGGGCACGUGAAAUCCCGUGUGAAUCUGCCUCGACCACGAGGUAAGGCUAAAUAUUCCCGUGUGACCGAUAGAGAAACAGUACCGCGAGGGAAAGGUGAAAAGAACCCCGGAAGGGGAGUGAAAUAGAACAUGAAACCGUUAGCCUACAAGCAAUGGGAGGACGAUUGAACGUCUGACCGUGUGCCUGUUGAAGAAUGAGCCGGCGACUUACAGGUUAUGGCAGGUGAAGGGGGAAGACCCCACAGCCCCAGCGAAAGCGAGUCUGAAGAGGGCGAAAAGUCAUAAUUUGUAGACCCGAACCCGGGUGAUCUAACCAUGGCCAGGAUGAAGCUUGGGUAAAACCAAGUGGAGGUCCGAACCGACUAAUGUUGAAAAAUUAGCGGAUGAGCUGUGGUUAGGGGUGAAAUGCCAAUCGAACUCGGAGCUAGCUGGUUCUCCCCGAAAUGUGUUGAGGCGCAGCGGUAGUGGAAGUUUAGUCGGGGUAAAGCACUGUUUCGCCGCGGGCUGGGAGACCGGUACCAAGGCGAGGCAAACUCUGAAUACGGCUAAAAAAACUACCAGUGAGACGGUGGGGGAUAAGCUUCAUCGUCAAGAGGGAAACAGCCCAGACCACCAGCUAAGGUCCCCAAAUGAUAACUAAGUGAGAAAGGAGGUGGGAGUGCAUGGACAACCAGGAGGUUUGCCUAGAAGCAGCAAUCCUUAAAAGAGUGCGUAAUAGCUCACUGGUCAAGCGCUCCUGCGCCGAAAAUGAACGGGGCUAAGUUAUCUACCGAAGCUGUGGACUACAUUGUAGUGGUAGGGGAGCGUUCUAUAGGGGGUGAAGCAGUAGCGGCAAGCAGCUGUGGACUCUAUAGAAGUGAGAAUGUCGGCUUAAGUAGCGAAAAUGUGGGUGAGAAUCCCACACCCCGAAACCCCAAGGUUUCCUCCGCAAGGCUCGUCCGCGGAGGGUCAGUCAGGACCUAAGGCGAGGCUGAAAAGCGUAGUCGAUGGACAACGGGUUAACAUUCCCGUACCGAUUAAUGAUUGUGCCGGAGAACGGAGAAGGUCAACGUCAGCUGGAUGUUGGUUACCAGUGCAAGCAGUCGAGGCGAUGAGAGGUGGAGAAAACACCAGGAGCUAAGACGCGAGUCCCACCUCCUACGGGAGGGAAGUGGCGUUGAUCAAGCUUCCUAGAAAAGCCCGAACCACGUUAAUCAUUAAUUGCCUGUACCCGAAACCGACACAGGUGGGGAAGUAGAGAAUACUAAGGGGCGCGAGAUAACUCUCUCUAAGGAACUCGGCAAAAUGACCCCGUAACUUCGGGAGAAGGGGUACCCUCGCGAGAGGGUCGCAGUGAAUAGGCCCAGGCGACUGUUUACCAAAAACACAGGUCUCCGCCAAGUCGUAAGACGCAGUAUGGGGGCUGACGCCUGCCCAGUGCCGGAAGGUUAAGGAAGUUGGUCAGGAGUAAUCUGAAGCUGACGACCGAAGCCCCGGUGAACGGCGGCCGUAACUAUAACGGUCCUAAGGUAGCGAAAUUCCUUGUCGGGUAAGUUCCGACCCGCACGAAAGGCGUAACGAUCUGGGCACUGUCUCGGAGAGAGACUCGGCGAAAUAGGAUUGUCUGUGAAGAUACGGACUACCUGCACCUGGACAGAAAGACCCUAUGAAGCUUUACUGUAGCCUGGAAUUGGCUUCGGGCUUCGCUUGCGCAGGAUAGGUGGGAAGCGUUGAAACUCUCCUCGUGGGGAGAGUGGAGCUAACGGUGAGAUACCACUCUGGCGAGGCUAGAAUUCUAACCCUGACCCCUAAUCGGGGCGGGAGACAGUUUCAGGUGGGCAGUUUGACUGGGGCGGUCGCCUCCUAAAAGGUAACGGAGGCGCGCAAAGGUUCCCUCGGUCCCGUUGGAAAUGGGACGAUAGAGUGCAAAAGCAGAAGGGAGCUUGACUGUGAGACCCACAAGUCGAACAGGGACGAAAGUCGGCUUUAGUGAUCCGACGGCACCGCGUGGAAGGGCCGUCGCUCAACGGAUAAAAGUUACUCUAGGGAUAACAGGCUGAUCUCCCCCAAGAGUUCACAUCGACGGGGAGGUUUGGCACCUCGAUGUCGGCUCAUCGCAACCUGGGGCUGAAGUCGGUCCCAAGGGUUGGGCUGUUCGCCCAUUAAAGCGGUACGUGAGCUGGGUUCAGAACGUCGUGAGACAGUUCGGUCCAUAUCCGGUGUAGGCGUAAGAGCAUUGCGAGGAGCCUUCCUUAGUACGAGAGGACCGGGAAGGACGCACCGCUGGUGUACCUGUUAUCGUGCCAACGGUAAACGCAGGGUAGCCAUGUGCGGAGCGGAUAACCGCUGAAAGCAUCUAAGUGGGAAGCCCACCUCCAGAUGAUUGCUCUCAUGGCAUUAAGCCAGUAAGGUCUCGGGUAGACUACCCGUUGAUAGGCUCUAGAUGGAAGCUCGGUAACGAGUGCAGUCGAGGAGUACUAACCGACCGAGGGCUUGACC
rnacentral:rRNA from 1 species